rnacentral:rRNA from 1 species
UGACCGCUGGCGGUAGGCCUAGCACAUGCACGUCGACCGGCAGCACAGUAAGAGCUUGCUCUUACGGGUGGCGAGUGGCGGACGGGUGAGGAAUACAUCGGAAUCUACUUUUUCGUGGGGGAUAACGUAGGGAAACUUACGCUAAUACCGCAUACGACCUACGGGUGAAAGCAGGGGAUCUUCGGACCUUGCGCGAUUGAAUGAGCCGAUGUCGGAUUAGCUAGUUGGCGGGGUAAAGGCCCACCAAGGCGACGAUCCGUAGCUGGUCUGAGAGGAUGAUCAGCCACACUGGAACUGAGACACGGUCCAGACUCCUACGGGAGGCAGCAGUGGGGAAUAUUGGACAAAGGGCGCAAGCCUGAUCCAGCCAUACCGCGUGGGUGAAGAAGGCCUUCGGGUUGUAAAGCCCUUUUGUUGGGAAAGAAAAGCAGCAGGUUAAUACCCCGCUGUUCUGACGGUACCCAAAGAAUAAGCACCGGCUAACUUCGUG